rnacentral:lncRNA from 1 species
UUUAACAAUAUAUAAGUUGAUAAAUAUCAGUUGCAAUAUUAUUAAACGAAUGGCCAAUAUUAGUUUUACUAGUCUGUCUUAUUAAAACAGAAACUUUCAUUUCAUCCAAUAGUUUUUUUUUAAUACUUGUUAGGUGAGAUAUAUCAAGCAUGAACAAAAAUAAAGCAAUCUUUAAUUUAUGACACGCUUAGUUCCGUCAAGAAAAUACAAAAUAUAGUAGUAAAAUGGUACAUGGAUGAACGAGCAAGCAGAAUGAGUUCGCCCUAGAGCUUAACGCUCCCAGGCACGACUUACGAAGCAGCCGCCAGAUCGAAGAUUUCAACAUGAGCCUCUGCCUCCGGUGUCCCUCCUCCGCCCCGCUCCACUUCUGACCGCCGCGACUUCACUCUCUCCGGUCUUUCCGUCACUUCACUCCGGCCUUUCCGUCACUUCACUCCGGCGUCUCUUCUCUGUUUGGCUCCAUGCUAUCUGAAGGUGUGACUCUGCUCAAGCUACUCCCCUCGAGUCAGGUAGAUUCAGCAGAACAACUGUUCGUUCUAGGUGAGAGGACCUUGUCGGGGAACCUCGUCGCUCCUCCUCCUCGUUCCCCAGAGCCACCAGACCCACCGGUCCCGCCAGAUCUACUCCAUUCACCUCUGAAUCGAACCAGUACGCAUCCCUCUCGUCCCGUCAGAUCCAUGAACACGCAGCUUGAUCGUUACGUGCCAAACCUAGCCUUAAGGGCCGUGUCUCCACCUCUGCAAGAUUGGUGUAGUAAUGUGGAGAUUUUGGUUGAAGAAAACGUCUCCAGGCUGGUCUCUCUCCAACACUCAGCAAAUCAAAGCUUUGAGGACUGGCUUUUGAUUGUUAAAGUAUGGGUGGUGAUUUGCUUGGUGGAUGUUCAGCCCUUCCUCUUCACCUCUGGUGGUCUUUCAACCCGCUUCAUCUACGAGAUCCGACGACAUCGUGGGGUUGAGGCAAAGCUAAACCAGAUCUGCCUUGCCGGUAGAGUCUACUGCUCCACCGUACUUGCUGCUCCCUGCUUCUCCACCGACAUUCAUGUUGACCUCCUCCCCACACGUAAUGAUAAUACCACCACCGCCUCUACCUCACUUCGACGCAGUAUACUUGUAUCCAUCUCCAUUAUGUGUGCCCUGCAACAACGAUUCUCCCUUGUGCUCUGGACUACAACGACGAGUCCCACCGGACGUGGAGAGUUUGAUUUAUCAUCGCUCUCUAGUGAGCAAUCUGAGAACGACUGGCGC